rnacentral:tRNA from 1 species
GCAGAAGUACCCAAGUGGUGAAGGGGAUUGUUUGCUAAACAAUUAGGUCUCGAAAGGGGCGCGAGGGUUCGAACCCCUCCUUCUGCGCCA